UCUUUCUAUCACUACAAGCUUCGAACUAUCGAAAUACUAAAAAUAUAAGUAUAAGAAAUAUUAAAAUUACUUAAUUCUUAGAUAAAGGAUUAUACCCAAACGUUCUCAACAAAUAAAAAUUAGAUAACAUAAUUUUUUCUAUUAGAACUAUAAAAACAAUUCAAAUAUUAAUAGUAAAAAUAUGUGUAUACAAUAUACAUACACUCCUCUUAAUGAUGGAAAAAGAAACCUCAAAAGUCUUCCAAGUAAGUAGAGUAGGAGUAAAGAAAAAUAUCACAUCAAUCAUCAUCUAGUAAAAAAAAAAUCAUCCUCAUCUACUUUUUCCUCCCAAAACCAAAAACACCAUUGUUUCUUCUUUGUUUUUCAUUCAAGUUUAUUGUAAGCAAAAAAAAAAAAAAAAAAACGCAUCUUCCUUUCUUUAGCAAGAUAACAUCAAGUAGUAAAAAAAAGAUUUUAUGAGACCUACAAAAAGUGUAGGAAUAGAUUUUGAUGAUAAACCUCUAUGGAAUCAUGUUAAAGUUAUUUUGAUGGCUCCAAAUGGGGGUGGGAAUAGGACAUGGUCUUGUAACUAUUGUAAUAAUAUAGUUACGGGAUCAUAUAAUAGGGUGAAAGCACAUUUUUUGAGAUUAUCGGGUCAUUGUGUUCAAAUAUGUAAAGAAAAUAGUGGUGAUAUAUAUGCGCUUUUGAAGAUGGAGCAUGAACAAGCGGAAAGAAAACGAACCAAUGUUCAAGUUGAUGCAAGAAAAAAAGAUGAUUAUACAUCACUUCCGGAGGGGACUGAUCUAAUUCAACAAAAAAAAACGAAAGAGUUCGAGUAGUGGAGCUAUAGGAAAAUCAUUCGGCAUUGAUGAGAGGAAUACGGCCGACAAAUUAGUCGCUAGGAUGUUCUACGCAUCAGGUUUAUCAUUCAACUUUGUCAACUCUCCUUAUUUUAAAAAGUAUUCUAAGUUUCUAGCCGAAAAUUCCAUUCCCGUUUAUAUUCCCUCAUCAUAUAAUAGAUUGAGGUCAACUCUUUUAGCUCAAGAAAAAACACAUAUUGAUAGAAAGUUGCAACCAAUAAAAGGUACAUGGAAAAAGAAAGGAUUGGCGAUUUGUUCGGAUGGAUGGUCCGAUACUAAAAAACGACCUUUGAUCAAUAUAAUGGCAUCAUCUAGUGGAGGCCCAAUGUUUUUGAAUUCAAUCAAUUCUAGUGGAAUCGGAAAAGAUGGUGAAUAUAUUGCUAACUUAUUUAUUGAAGCAAUAGAAAAUGUAGGUUCAAACAAUGUUGUUCAAGUUAUUACGGAUAAUGCAAGUAAUAUGAAACUUGCAGGUACUAUAGUGGAGCAAAAAUAUCCUCAUAUAUUUUGGACUCCUUGCGUUGUUCAUUGUUUGAAUCUAGCUUUGAAAAGUAUGUGCCAACCUUCGGAAAAAUCACCUCACUUUACUAAUUGUAAUUGGAUUUUAGAGUUACUUAGUGAAGUGAGCAAUUUAAAGAAUUUUGUUUUGAACCAUGACAUGGCACAUGCACUUUCUAAAAAACAUUCGGAUUUGUAUUUGUUGAAGGUUGGUGAAACAAGAUUUGCCUCACACAUCAUUAUGACCACCCGAAUUCGCAUAGUAAAAUCUUCUUUGGAGAAAAUGGUCAUGGAUGAUGAAUGGAAGAAUUAUAAGGGGGAUAAGGAAAUUGAAGCCAAGACACGUGAAAUAAAAUCGCUCAUAAUGAAUGAUGAAAAAUGGGAUAGUAUUGACUAUUUCUUGAAAUUUACGGAACCAAUUGUUGAUAUGCUAAGAAGAGCCGAUAUUGAUGGUCCAAAAUUACAUCUCAUUUAUGAUAUGUGGGACUCAAUGAUUGAGAAAGUCAAGAAAGUCAUCUUUGAGCAUGAGGGAAAAGAUCUCAUUUCCGGUCAAUCAAUAUUUUUUGAUACUAUUCAUGAUAUUCUUGUGGCUAGGUGGAACAAAAGUAACACACCUCUACAUUGUAUGGCACAUUCUUUGGUUCCCAAAUAUUAUCAUGAAUCAUGGCUUGAAGGAGAGAAUGGAAUUCGAAAGCUAGCUCCCAAUGAAGAUAGUGAAAUUUCAUUGAAUAGAGUCAAGUGCUUUCAAAGGUAGUUUAAAAAUUCUAAUGAAAUGAAACUAGCCUCAUCGGAGUAUGGAGCCUUUUGUAGCGGAAAUGGCUAUUUUAGUGAGCCUCAUGUGAUUGACGCUAUGAUGUAUGAAGAUUCUCUUUCUUGGUGGGCAAAUCAUGGGGUCUCGGCUCCACUUUUGCAACAAUUAGCUUACAAGUUGCUUAUUCAACCGGUUUCUUCCUCUUGUUGUGAAAGAAAUUGGAAUACAUAUUCUUUGAUUCACAAUAUCAAGAGAAAUAAGUUAGCAACUUCAAGAGCCGAAGAUUUAGUGUUUGUACAUUAUAAUCUCCGAUUGUUGUCUCGCAAGAAAGACAAAUAUAUAAAUGGGCCAAGCAAAUAUUGGGAUGUUGGUGGAGAUCGGUUUGAUAUUGAUGAGACAACUAAUGAUCUAACCGAGCUUUCAAUAGAUGACCCUCAAAUUGAUGGUGUGAUAUUUGAGGAAGAGUUUGAAGAUUUGGAAGAAGUUGAAGAAGAUGUGGAAGAGAUAGCUAACUUAAUUAAAUAACUUGAUAAUUGACAAUAUUUUGUUGUUAUGUUAAUUUUAAGUUAUGAAUUAAGUUGAGACAAUCUCUUGUUUUUUGUUCAA